AUGCUGGCAAUUCAGAUCUACCAAAGAGAAGCCAUCAAGUUCUUAUUUUAACUGAAAAGGGGAAAGUUCUCUACUUAAGAAAGAAAAAAUAUAUGCCGCGUUUGCCAAGAUCUACAAUUAUUCCGAAAAUGUGAUCAUUCUAAUGUCUUCAAAUAUGAAUGCAUUUGGAAGGUUGCUUGCUAGAAACACAGCUGGAAAACUGGAAAGAAAGCACUCCCUCGUUACUUCAGUUAUCCUACGUGGCAAGAGAAGAAAGGGUCAGUUUCACAAAAUGUGACUGAUUUAUUUUGUCCCACCUUAGAGCUAUCUACAAUCAGCAGGGAAAAGCAGGGGUUGAAAGGUGACACUAUCAUACAAAACUUCCUAACAUAAUCUUUUCUGACUUCAAAAUAAAAACAUAUAACUUUA